rnacentral:rRNA from 1 species
AACGAACGCUGGCGGCAUGCCUAACACAUGCAAGUCGAACGAGACCUUCGGGUCUAGUGGCGCACGGGUGCGUAACGCGUGGGAACCUGCCCUUAGGUUCGGAAUAACUCCCCGAAAGGGGUGCUAAUACCGGAUAAUGUCUUCGGACCAAAGAUUUAUCGCCUUUGUUUGGGCCCGCGUUGGAUUAGCUAGUUGGUAGGGUAAAAGCCUACCAAGGCGACGAUACAUAGCUGGUCUGAGAGGAUGAUCAGCCACACUGGGACUGAGACACGGCCCAGACUACUACGGGAGGCAGCAGUGGGGAAUAUUGGAAAAUGGGCGAAAGCCUGAUCAAGCAAUGACGCGUGAGUGAUGAAGGCCUUAGGGUUGUAAAGCUCUUUUACCCGGGAUGAUAAUGACAGUACCGGGAGAAUAAGCUCCGGCUAACUCCGUG